AACGAACGCUGGCGGCAUGCCUAACACAUGCAAGUCGAACGAGAUCUUCGGGUCUAGUGGCGCACGGGUGCGUAACGCGUGGGAAUCUGCCCUUUGGUUCGGAAUAACAGUUGGAAACGACUGCUAAUACCGGAUGAUGACGAAAGUCCAAAGAUUUAUCGCCAGAGGAUGAGCCCGCGUAGGAUUAGCUAGUUGGUGUGGUAAAGGCGCACCAAGGCGACGAUCCUUAGCUGGUCUGAGAGGAUGAUCAGCCACACUGGGACUGAGACACGACCUAGACUCCUACGAGAGGCAGCAGUGGGGAAUAUUGGACAAUGGGCGAAAGCGUGAUCCAGCAAUGCCGCGUGAGUGAUGAAGGCCUUAGGGUUGUAAAGCUCUUUUACCCGGGAUGAUAAUGACAGUACCGGGAGAAUAAGCUCCGGCUAACUCCGUGCCAGCCGCCGCAGUAA
rnacentral:rRNA from 1 species